GCUCCAGUGGCGCAGUCGGUUAGCGCAUGGUACUUAUACGACAGUAUUCAUGUAUGAUGUGAUUCGUCAUAGCUGUUAAGAUAUGCCGAGGUCGCGAGUUCGAGCCUGGCCUGGAGCA
rnacentral:tRNA from 1 species